rnacentral:rRNA from 1 species
UACGUAGGGUGCAAGCGUUGUCCGGAAUUACUGGGCGUAAAGCGUGCGCAGGCGGUCUUCCAAGUCAGUGGUGAAAGCCCGGAGCUCAACUCCGGAACUGCCAUUGAAACUGUGAGACUCGAGUACGAGAGAGGUGAGUGGAAUUCCCAGUGUAGAGGUGAAAUUCGUAGAUAUUGGGAAGAACACCGGUGGCGAAGGCGGCUCACUGGCUCGUAACUGACGCUCAGGCACGACAGCGUGGGGAUCAAACAGG